rnacentral:rRNA from 1 species
UGGGGGAUAUUGCACAAUGGGCGAAAGCCUGAUGCAGCGACGCCGCGUGGGGGAUGAAGGCCUUCGGGUUGUAAACUUCUUUUGCUCUGAACAAGGCAUGCCUUUGGGGUGUGUUGAGUGUAGGGGUUGAUUAGCGCCGGCUAACUACGUGCCAGCAGCCGCGGUAAUACGUAGGGCGCGAGCGUUGUCCGGAAUUAUUGGGCGUAAAGGGCUUGUAGGUGGCUGGUUGCGUCUGUCGUGAAAGCUCAUGGCUUAACUGUGGGUUUGCGGUGGGUACGGGCUGGCUUGAGUGCAGUAGGGGAGGCUGGAAUUCCUGGUGUAGCGGUGGAAUGCGCAGAUAUCAGGAGGAAUACCGGUGGCGAAGGCGGGUCUCUGGGCUGUUACUGACGCUGAGGAGCGAAAGCGUGGGGAGCGAUCAGG